ACCUACAGAUGCACUACAGAUGCUUCAUCCCACCAGGGCGGCCAAUAAAAAAGUAGGACAGGAAUAGAAUCUCUUGUCAUUGGGUGUGAUGUGACUGCCCCUCAAAGUGAAGAUGGAGAUUCUACAGCA
rnacentral:snoRNA from 1 species